UCCGGUUGAUCCUGCCAGAGGCCGCUGCUAUCCGGCUGGGACUAAGCCAUGGGAGUCAUGGGGCGCGGGCCCUUCGGGGUUCGCGCACCGGCGGACGGCUCAGUAACACGUGGCCGACCUGCCCUCGGGAGGGGGAUAACCCCGGGAAACUGGGGCUAAACCCCCAUAGGGGAUGGGUGGUGGAAUUCCCCCAUCCCCGAAAGUGUGCGGUUGCCGUAAGGCGCCGCACAGCCCGAGGAUGGGGCUGCGGCGGAUUAGGUAGUUGGCGGGGUAACGGCCCGCCAAGCCGAAGAUCCGUACGGGCCAUGAGAGUGGGAGCCCGGAGAUGGCCCCUGAGACAAGGGGCCAGGCCCUACGGGGCGCACCAGGCGCGAAACCUCCGCAAUGCGGGAAACCGCGACGGGGUCAGCCGGAGUGCCCGCGCAUCGCGCGGGCUGUCGGGGAGCCUAAACAGCUCCCCAUAGCAAGGGCCGGGCAAGGCCGGUGGCAGCCGCCGCGGUAAUGCCGGCGGCCCGAGUGGCGGCCACUAUUAUUGGGCCUAAAGCGUCCGUAGCCGGGCGGGUAAGUCCCCCGGGAAAUCUGGCGGCUUA
rnacentral:rRNA from 1 species